rnacentral:ncRNA from 2 species
GUCAGGAUGGCCGAGUGGUCC